rnacentral:rRNA from 1 species
CCUACGGGAGGCAGCAGUGAGGAAUAUUGGUCAAUGGCCGGAAGGCUGAACCAGCCAAGCCGCGUGCGGGUGGAAGGCGCAGAGCGUCGCAGACUUCUUUUGUCAAGGGACAAAAUCAGGCUCGAGAGCCUGACCGAGGGUACUUGAAGAAAAAGCAUCGGCUAACUCCGUGCCAGCAGCCGCGGUAAUACGGAGGAUGCGAGCGUUAUCCGGAUUUAUUGGGUUUAAAGGGUGCGUAGGCGGGCUGUUAAGUCAGCGGUAAAAGCCCGGGGCUCAACCCCGGCGAGCCGUUGAAACUGGCUGUCUUGAGAUGUCGAGAGGUAUGCGGAAUGCGCAGUGUAGCGGUGAAAUGCUUAGAUAUUGCGCAGAACUCCGAUUGCGAAGGCAGCAUACCGGCGGAGAUCUGACGCUGAGGCACGAAAGCGUGGGUAUCGAACAGGAUUAGAUACCCGGGUAGUC